UGUAAAUAAAUCCCAAUUAUUUUUGCCUAACUCAGGUGAAGUUUGUGAGCUUUAAAGUUUGGGAUCAGGGCUCAGAAUAUAGAAAAUCACCUUAGUGGGAAGGUUAAGGCUUGCAAUGCCAAAGUAAUGUUAAAAUCUGACUAGAAGCAUGUGUGACGAGACCAAUCUCGCCACAUUGCAUUGGAGAAGCCUGGUUGCUCACCUGCUGCCUUUGGACUAU